UGGCCACAGAUGCUCUGACGAGGUUGCACUACUUUGCUCUAAGAAGCAGUGCAAUGAUAUUGUCAAAGCAUCUGGGACCAGC
rnacentral:pre_miRNA from 1 species